UUCAUCCUUUCCAUAGCCUUCAAGUGCCACACCUCGAGAGCUCCUGGGCAUUGACAAGGUGUCUCAGACCUUAUGACCACCUGGUUCUUACCCGACCCCUGAGCUACCUUUCUUAUGUUUCAUCCAGCGGUGCCACCCAGCCCAGACUUCAGAGGGCCUCCCCGGAAGAGGGCUCAGGAGGUAUGACCAAAAGGACCCGCGGCUACAGUUAAUCCCAGCUCCCGCUCCCAGCCCUCGGGAACCACUGAUCUGCUUCCCGACCCUAUACAUUUGUUGUUUGUGGAAACUGCAUAGAAAUGGACUCAUGCAAUAUGCCAUCUUCUGAGUGUGGCUGCUUUCACUUCCCACGUUUUCACGGUCCAGCCACGCCCUCGCACGUGUCAGUCCUUUGAUCUUUGUUCCGUGGAACCCCGCCAGACGGAACCCCGCCGGACGGACCCGCACCGCGGUGUUGGACCAUGCACCCGUGGGCGCACGCUUGAGUUGUUUCUUGUUUGGGCCUCUCAGGAAUAAUGCCCUCUGCACAGGCCUGUGCGUGUGUUUGUGUGGACAUACGUCUUCGUUUCUCUCGGGUAGAUUCCAAGGAGUGAAAUCACGGGGUCAUCGGGUGGCGGUGAAGUUUAUACUUGGCCCAAUCUCCUGAUUCCUCCCUCUCUUCCUCCUUCCUGUCAUUGAGCUUACCUCUGUUUUAAGAAUGCAGAGCUCUUCUCUCUGUGCCCCCCUCCUCUGCCCCAGCCUGGAAGCUUCUUCAGGGUAAGAAGGGGGUGUUGUUUGAGUUUCUGUAAAGCCUUGCCAGGAGUUUAACAGUCAAAUAAGACAUGGUCCUGACCCCAAGGGGCUCACAAACUAGUAGAGAAACAGACAGGUCUCAUCUAUGUUUUCAAAGCCCUAGUUUUGAAAACCUCAGAGGCUUUCCAGAUGGAAGCACCCCACACCAUCCAUUGCAAAGUGGAGAUGAAAGCAGGAAGAUAGGGAACUUGGAGUGUCCACCGGGAAGUACACAGGUGGGGCUGGUUUGCUUGGAGCAGGAUCCACAAAUGGUAGCCCGGGGGCCAAAUUCAGCCUGCCACCAGUUCUUAUAAAAGUUUUACUGGAACGGAGCUUUGCUGUUUUGUUUACAUACUGUCUGUGGCCACCUUUGUGCUAUGAGAGCAGAACUUAGUUGUGACAGAGACCAUGUGGCCUGCAAAGCCUAAAAUAUUUACAGUCAGGCUCUUUACCGAAAGAUUUUGCCAACAUCUCCUUAGAGGAAAGAAUGAAGAUGACAGAUAACAACACCCAUGUGCUCCCACAGUUCGGCUGCGUGGUGAUAUCCAGAAAAUCAACUGCAGGAACCGUGAUCUGAAUCAGAUGUAAGGAAAGACUGGACGGGUGGCAAGGUUAGGUGGUAACCUUCUGGCUCCUCAGAGAGACAAACUUCCCUUCGGAAAAGGGAAAAAGAAAAAACAACAACAACAACAACAAACACACUUCUCCACUCCAGCACAGUUGGGACAUAAGCUAUCUGGAGACAAAAAGCUGGGAGGGGUGACUCUGGAUUUCUGGGCCCUUCGGUCCUCUUGGAGAUGUAGGGAAGGAGGGUGUUCUCUGGAAGUCAGAUACUUUUGGCGCUGGGCUCAGGAUAAUGAAGGGGCAGUCCAGUGGAGGGGGGCUAGGAGCAAGGGAGGAAGAAAAAGGCCAGUUUUUCUUUUGGCAAGAUAGAUAUCAGAACGCGAGGGUGGCGGGAGCCAACAGAGGAAGCGGCCGGGCCCUCUUGUGGCUAUGAUGGAGUGAAUUAAUUCCCGGCAUAUGUUCCCGGCAUCUGUCGUGGUGGCCUGGACCAGAAGGGUCAGCAAGAGAGAGAGGACCCUGCCAGGGCUGAGCAUUAGCCCAGAAUUCCCGGGCUGCUGGGGCUCUCGGCUCCCACAGAACGAUGGCUGGCCAGCACGCCCAGGAACAUCUGUUGCAGCUGUGGCAGGCAGUGCUGUCUUGGGAGGAGGCCGGGGGGGGGUCCCCUCCACAUGCUCACUGCAAGUAAGCACCUGCCUGUGAAGGGGCUGAGAGAAGGCCUGUAAGGGUCCUGCAAAAGCGCUCUCUUCCAGAUCUCGGCUGCGGUAGAUUCGCAUGUAAGCAUGAUGUAAGCAACAGUGCUGGGAGAGGCAAGAACGCAGAGAUCUUGGGAUGCCCUCCGGAGUACCAGUCCCUGAAACCCCCCGGGUGCUGUCUGGGCUUCUUACUGCAGAGUGUCCUUCGGGAGUCCGAGAUCCACGGAGAGGCAGCCGCACAGGAGGGCGUGGUGGCUGGGAAGGCAGACGACGCCAGGCUCUGGGGUGAUCAAACGGCCUGCAACACAUCAGGGGUCUGGCACAAAGGAAGCACUCAGUGAGGGGGAGCUCUGAUGACACCGAGGGACUGUCAGUGGUCACGUGUUGCCUCCAACAGAAGUCAUGGACAUUAGGCACUGAGGGGACCUGUGUGGGCGUCUACCCCAAGGUCAUGAACUGGAGGGCUGUGGGCUAACCUUGGAUCAACCAUACAACGUGUUUGAUCGGGCCUAUACACUUUUUAAAAAUCACUUCGUUAAUUAUCAGCAUUAAAAAUGUUAAGGUUUCACAUUAAACCCAGAUUUCCGGCUUCUCUGAGGAAAUGAGGGGAUGUGUCCGCGCUGGGGCCACGGCUCGUAUGGCGGUGAUUGGCUUGAGCAAAGAAGCAACAGCUCCUUUAAGUAGGGGCAGUUCAGCGCGCCCCCCACUCCCUCCGCACUUCCAGGUGCCGUGGGCUUCUCCUCCUCGGGUCAGGACGCCUGACCCUGUGUCCAGCAGGGAUCCGAGAGGAGUUUGACCGGAGUCCUGCGGUAGUCCUAGGCCAGCGACGGGUGAGCCCUCUGCCCUUAGUCAAGGGCAGUUAAACCGUUAAACUGUGCUCUGGCACUCGUGGUGUCUGCUGAGGAACAGCGUCCGUCUCAGCAGUCAAGAAGCGGAGGUUUGUCACCUUCUUUCUGGAGCAGCCUCUGGUGCCUCGAGCGCACCACUGAGGCACUGGGAAGCUGGGGGGAGCCGAGGCUUGCAGGCU